rnacentral:rRNA from 1 species
CCUACGGGUGGCAGCAGUGGGGAAUCUUGGGCAAUGGGCGCAAGCCUGACCCAGCAACGCCGCGUGAAGGAAGAAGGCUUUCGGGUUGUAACCUUCUUUUCUCAGGGACGAAGCAAGUGACGGUACCUGAGGAAUAAGCCACGGCUAACUACGUGCCAGCAGCCGCGGUAAUACGUGGGUGGCAAGCGUUGUCCGGAUUUACUGGGUGUAAAGGGCGUGUAGGCGGGGACGCAAGUCAGAUGUGAAAACCACGGGCUCAACCUGUGGCCUGCAGUUGACACUGUGUGUCUUGAGUACGGGAGAGGCAGAAGGAAUUCCUAGUGUAGCUGUGAAAUGCGUAGAUAUUAGGAGGAACACCAGUGGCGAAGGCGGUCUGCUGGACAGCAACUGACGCUGAGGCGCGAAAGCGUGGGGAGCAAACAGGAUUAGAUACCCCUGUAGUC